rnacentral:misc_RNA from 1 species
AAUGAAAUCUAGCGUUAGAGUGCCAUAGAUUGGGUACCUGUUCCGUAUCAGGUACAAUUUUCUUCCCAACGUUAGUUUAACAUCGAAAAUUGUUCACAACUGUGAAAAUCGUGUUAAAUCGAGUAUCAAGUAAAUGAAAUCUAACGUCAGAGUACCAUAAAUUAGGUACCUGUUCAAUAUCAGGUACAAUUUUCUUCCCAAUGUUAGUUUAACAUCGAAAAUUGUUCACAACUGUGAAAAUCGUGUUAAAUCGAGUA